AUUGAACGCUGGCGGCAGGCUUAACACAUGCAAGUCGAGCGGGGUGAUGGUGCUUGCACUAUCACUUAGCGGCGGACGGGUGAGUAAUGCUUAGGAAUCUGCCUAUUAGUGGGGGACAACAUCUCGAAAGGGAUGCUAAUACCGCAUACGUCCUACGGGAGAAAGCAGGGGAUCACUUGUGACCUUGCGCUAAUAGAUGAGCCUAAGUCGGAUUAGCUAGUUGGUGGGGUAAAGGCCUACGAAGGCGACGCUCUGUAGCGGGUCUGGGAGGGUGAUCCGCCACACUGGGACUGAGACACGGCCCAGACUCCUACGGGAGGCAGCAGUGGGGAAUAUUGGACAAUGGGGGGAACCCUGAUCCAGCCAUGCCGCGUGUGUGAAGAAGGCCUUAUGGUUGUAAAGCACUUUAAGCGAGGAGGAGGCUCUUUUGGUUAAUACCCAAGAUGAGUGGACGUUACUCGCAGAAUAAGCACCGGCUAACUCUGUGCCAGCCGCCGCCGUAA
rnacentral:rRNA from 1 species